UCCGGGGCUGCCGCAGCGCCGCGCUCCCGCCGAGCACUACAUUUCCCACAGAGCUGCGCGCACCGCAGCCCUCCGCGUCCCGCCUUGGCGAAGGGGCUUCUGGGAAUUGUAGUCCCGGGCCGAGCAAGGGGAAGAUGGCGGUGCCCAAGGCCGCGGUGGUGCUGAGGCACGUGAAGAGCGUCAUGAUCCGGUUCUGCCCGUUCCAGACCAACGUGGAAACCACGCGAAUAUUUCUUGAACAUGUAAACAGUAAAAAAGCUCGUGCCUCCAAUAUCAGCUGUGUAGUGACAACAGAUGUAAGACAUGAUGGAUCUGAACCAGUUGUAGACAUUAUGUUUGGUGCUGAGCAUGUUGCCAAGGAAGCAUUUCCAGCCCUUGCAGCCUGCGAACGCAGGACCUCUGUCUGGGGAUUGGUCCUACUUUGAGCAGGAGGCUGGACUAGAUGACCUCCUGAUGUCCCUUCCAACCCUGAUAUUCUAUGAUUCUAUGACUUGAACUUGGUAACUGCACAAGACAGUGCAUUAUGCUGCUGGGCUUGCUAUAAUUUUUGAGGGAUACUGUCAACUUGAAAAAUCUAGUCACUUUGAAAUUUAGUUACAAUUAGUUUUAGGCACUACGUUUUGUUCCUAGUUCUCCCUGACAAUUUUUAGGUUUUAAAAAUGAAAUUUUCCUAAUUUAAAAAAUGUUUGUUCUUACCUGUUUCUGUAGUAAAGACACACACAAACAGGGUAAACUGAUUAACUUGCUUCCUCUUCAGGGGAAACUGAAACUGACUAUACACAAUAUAUAGUAUAGUUGUCGUUUGUUGGUCUCGGGAUACUAGAGAGACAAAGUGGGUGAGGAAAUAUCUUUUAUUGGACCAACUUCUGUUGGUGAGAAAGCUUGUCUCUCUCACCAAUAGAAGUUGGUCCACUAAAAGAUAUUACCUCACCCACCUUGACUCUUUCAGAUGUGGAAUCCACUCCCUUAGGGCUGGUCUGUACUACACAGGUCGAUGUAAGGCAGCUUAUGUCAACCUAAUUAUGUCAGUGUCUACACAACAGUCUUCCUCCUGCCGAUGUUAGGCCUUGUCUACACUACCGUGGUAAGUCAGCCUAAGUUAUGCCACUCUAGUUACAUGAAUAACGUAACUUGAAUCGACGUAGCUUAGGUCGACUUACUGUGGUGUCUACACUGUGCUGCGUUGAUGGGAGAUGCUCUCCCGUCGAUUUACCUUACUUUUCUCAUUCCGGUGGAGUACUGGAGUCGACUGGAGAGCACUCUGCGAUCAAUUUAGUAGGACUUUACCAGAUCCGCUAAAUUGACCCCCGCUACAUUGAUCACAUCAGCGUUGAUCUCUGCUGAUGGAGACAGAUUGAUAAUGAAAGGAGCCAACUUGACAGCAGCAGAAAUGUUAUCAGCUUUCAACUCCAGAUGCAUAGCAAAAGACCUUAAGGCAGAAGAGAAAACCAAGAAAAAGGGUGCUUGAAGAUCAAAGG